GCCACGGUAGCUCAGCCUGGAAGAGCAGCUGCCUUGUAAGCAGCAGGUCGAGGGAUCAAAUCCCUCCCGUGGCU
rnacentral:tRNA from 1 species